GGGCAAAAUAGGGAGGCAAAGCUAAAGCUGAAGAGCUUAGUGCAUAUAGGAGCAGGCCAGGAUGUUGGACACAAGGCCGGAACAACGCACAAGGGGUCCACUAGGCCACGACCAUGGCUGGGUGUUCAGAGUUGCUCUAUCCAGGUGCCAACCUGUGGAAAAUGGGAAGCGGAGGUCCAGGAUCAAAGCCAGCUACAGUGUGACUACAAGACCACUGUCCUUUGGGCUACGAUGGUUUGAGCAGUCUCAACUUAGCAGAACCUGUGUUCAGGAGGGUUGCUGAUGCCCCAGAUGUUGGGAUUAUGCUGAAGGACUUGAGGCAGAGGCUUGGCAGUCUCUCAGACCCUGAGAUGUCAACUUAGUCAGAGUUGGCCAAUUCCCAAGUGGUGGAUUUUCAGGACAAGUCCAUCCUCAUGGGGGAAGAGAAAACCAUGCUUUCAACAGUUUCGCCCUCUUACAUUUAUGUUUGAACUGACAUUGUGAGAUUCCUGAAGGCACACAUAGUAACUUUUUCAUCCGAGUCUCCUCAGUCGGUGAGGGCCUGAUGUAUAUGAAAAUACGGCCUUGAAAAAGACCAGAGGCAUGCUCCCAAAUAAAAUUCCACUUAGCUUCUCACAGGGCAGUCAACUGUUUGCAUAGUUCCCCAGGAAAAGAAAAAAGGAACAAACACCACAUUGCUGAUCACUUAUUACCAGCAAAAGCUAAAAAUUGCCGGAGAUGAAGAGAAUAAUAAGAAAUGGCUACUGUUCUUGAGAAAGAAGCUCACAGACCAGGAAGAAGAUGCAGUCAUGUACACAUGGAGGAAUGUCCACAUGGUUUUGCAUCCAGGGUUUAAUGGAUACAAACUUCCUGGAAACCCGUGUGUGGAGUCUGGGAAGGCUCCCCUGAUUUCAGCGGAGAGGAAUCAGAUGAAGAUGGAAUUGUCAAAGUUCAGAGAUGGGAAAGAGUAUCUCAGGCAGAGAAAAACAGUUGUGCUGAGACCUGCUGGCUCUCAAGUUUUACCUGAAAUCCGUAUUCUCAGAUGAAGUUGAGGAAACACACACACACUCUCUGAUUGCCUUACUGACUUUAGGAACCUCACAGUUCCUUCUGGAAAUACACCAGAACCAAAAAGGCAUAGCCUGAGUCCAGGCUGUGGCGCAUGCCCUGUGACUGGAAAGCCUUUGCAAAACCCUCCAAAUCUCAGUUUCUAAAACUCACACAUCUACCAUUAGAUGUAUACCUUUAUGUUAUGAUUUGCCCUUCCCGGAGAUAUUUGCAUUGUAAACCAUAAGAUACUCACACUGUAGCAUAAACUAAUUUCAUCAGUUAUUGGUCUGGGACACCGAAAGAGAAGAGGGAUGUAAGGGCUGCCAUGGAGGACAUCAAACGGAGAGAGGAAGAAUGGGCUGUUACGGGGAUCGAGAUGAGAUCAUGUAAACCAGAAGAUGCUCUACGAAUGCAAGCCACCGGAAGUACCUCCUGCCACCAGGGUAAGACAGUGACAACUGGCAGCAGUGUGGUGCUCAGCUUGGCAUGCUACUGUACCUGGGGAGAAAGACCAAAAGAAAAGAAUUCCUCCAAUCCCAAUGCAGGCCCUCCCUCUCUCAGCCCUGUCUUUCCUCAAAAACACUAUGCCUGUCCUCUCUGGCAUUUUAUUUGUAAGUGUAAGCUGUAUUUAGUGUAAACCCACAGGGAGUUUGGAAGGGGGCGCUGCAUGCUUGGAUGCACUUAGCCCACCGCAUCUCAUCACGCACCUGCCCCUGGUAUGAGGAAACCUUCGAAUCUGAGUGACUGGCAUAAAAUGAAUCCUGUAUGAGUAUUUGGUUAAAUA